rnacentral:rRNA from 1 species
GAUGAACGCUGGCGGCGUGCCUAAUACAUGCAAGUCGAGCGAACAGACGAGGAGCUUGCUCCUCUGACGUUAGCGGCGGACGGGUGAGUAACACGUGGAUAACCUACCUAUAAGACUGGGAUAACUUCGGGAAACCGGAGCUAAUACCGGAUAAUAUAUUGAACCGCAUGGUUCAAUAGUGAAAGACGGUUUUGCUGUCACUUAUAGAUGGAUCCGCGCCGCAUUAGCUAGUUGGUAAGGUAACGGCUUACCAAGGCAACGAUGCGUAGCCGACCUGAGAGGGUGUUCGGCCACACUGGAACUGAGCCACGGUCCAGACCCUUACGGGAGGCGGCAGUAGGAAAUCUUCCGCAAGGGGCGAAGGCCUGACGGAGCAACGCCGCGUGAGUGAUGAAGUUCUUCGGUUCGUAAAACCCUUUUAUUAGGGAAGAACAAAUGUGUAAGUAACUAUGCACGUCUUGACGGUACCUAAUCAGAAAGCCACGGCUACCUACUU